AUGUGGAAAUGCAAAGACUGUGGUGUUUCUGUUUUACGAAGAUCUGAACUUCUUAAACAUUAUAAGCUUGAGCACAGACACUAUGGACGUCGCCAUUCCUAUCCUUGCAUCUAUUUUAGUUGUCAAUGCACCUGCAAGACUUGGAAGGCACUUUUGACUCAUUUGUCCAGAUUUCAUCAGCCUUCACAAACUGAAGUGACCACAUUUAAAUGCCUCACUUGCCACUGCAAUCAAUUCUCAACGUUAAAAGAAUACUUGAAACAUAUUUCACAGCAUCUUCUGAACAGUGAAACAGUAGUUUGUGUCUUUCAGGACUGUUUGUACAAAACAAAUAUUUAUGCUUCAUUUCGAACACACAAAAGCAGAAAUCAUAAGGGCUGUUCAGUGAAUGACUUAAAACCUGGAAUUCUUGAAAAAACUACAUGUUCUGCUGAAACAAAUUAUUCUGAUAAUAUCCACAUUGAUAGCAUUCUUCCUGAGCCCGCAGAUGAUUUCAGUACCGAAGAUUUCAAUGAUACGUCUUUGGAUGGGGAACAUUUAAUUGACUUGAAACAUAACAUUGAGCUCAAACUAGCCUCUCUCUUGUUGAAGCUCGAACAUAUUUAUCUUGUUUCUAGUGUUGCUGUUGAUGAACUUUUGCAAGAGUUUGUCCAUUUGAUAAGCACUGCUUCUGUCCCUCUUAUCAAUCAAAGUAUAGUUCAGCACUUGCGGAAUGGUAACAGUCAUGUAGAUGAAACAGUUGUAAAAGAUCUAGUAUUUGCUCUUUGUAAAUCACAUCCAAUUACAGCCUCUCUUGAAAGUCCAGGCCCUCUUUCCACUGCUUGGAAGAGAAAGGCAUACUAUAAAAAACAUUUUGAUAUUGUUGAACCUGUGGAAAUUGUGCUUGACCCCCAAAACAAAAAAUCAUUUCAAUACAUCCCUUUACUAAAAUCCUUACAGCAGAUUUUAAGUUGUGAAACAUUUUUGGAUAUUGCCAUUAAUUUGAAAUCUCCCCAUCAAAUUCAGUCUGGUCAAAGACAGUACAAGUCAUUUUAUGAUGGGAGUAAUUACGACGAAAAUUUUCAGUUGUCAAAAGAGUGUGCUAUUUCACUUUUUUUGUACAUAGAUGACUUUGAAAUCUGUAAUCCCCUUGGUACCUCCAGAAAAAAGUAUAAGGUCUGUGGGGUAUAUUGGACAUUGGGUAACUUACCUGCUAGCUGUCACUCCUCACUGUCUAAUAUAUAUUUAGCUGCACUUAUUCAUAGCGAUGAUGUUAAAUGUUAUGGUUAUGAAAAUGUACUGAAGCCCUUAGUACAGGAUCUUAUUAUAUUAGAACAAGAAGGACUGUUUAUUGCGAAAUUGGGGAAAAAUGUGAAAGGCUUUGUUCAUUGUGUUUUAGCAGACAAUCUUGGAGCACACAGUAUUGCAGGAUUUGUGGAAAACUUUUCUGGCAGAUACUCUUGCAGAUUUUGUACUGCAGAAAGAUUGGAUAUUCAAACAAAAGAAGUGAACUCGGGAGCAUUUUGCAUGAGAAGCAAGGAAAUUCAUGCUUCUCAUCUUAAAGAAAUUGAAGAAAAAAUAUUGGCUAAUUAUUUUGGUGUAAAAAGGAAGUGUGUGCUGUCAGAAAAUCUGUCAUAUUUCAAUUUGACACAAAGCUUUCCCCCUGAUAUUGUUCAUGAUUUGUUUGAAGGGAUUAUACCGGUUGAGAUUGCUCUUUGUCUUAAUGUAUUAAUUUCCAAAAAAUAUUUUGCAUUAUCCAAUUUGAAUGACGCAAUAACAUCGUUUCAAUUUAAAUGGACUGACAAGACAAACUGUCCCCAUCUUGUGCCCCAAACCUACACAACAAAGAGAACAAUAGGAGGAAACGCGCACGAGAAUUGGAACCUUUUAAGAUUUCUCCCUCUCUUAAUCGGACACAAAGUUCCUGCCAGUGAACCAGCGUGGCAAGUGCUCUGUGAAUUGAAGGACAUUGUAGAACUUGCUGUUGCACCUUUUCACACUGAGGACUCCAUUUGUUAUCUAGACUUUAAGAUAUCAGAACACAGGACAGUAUUUCAAGAAGUAUUCCCUCAUGAAAGAAUUCUACCUAAACAUCAUUACUUGGAGCAUUAUCCACAACUGAUCCGUCAGUUUGGCCCGCUCGUUGCACUAUGGACUAUGAGAUUUGAAGCUAAACAUAGUUUCUUCAAAAGAGUAAUACGUCAUACAAAUUGUUACAAAAAUGUUUUGUAUUCAUUAGCACAAAGACACCAAUUUCAGUCUGCACAUAAUCUGCACAUCUGUAGGUUUCCUAAACCAUCCUUAGAGGUCAGUGAGGUAUCAACACUACCCAUUGAUGUUAUUAACGAAGAUAUAACAUGGGCAGUGAAACAGAAGUACCCACAAAUUGAGACUGUGAACCUUGCAAAAAACGUUUUCUACAAUGGUUUAAACUACAGGAUUGGAAUGGUGUUAUCCCAUGGAUCGCUGGCUGGACUUCCAGAGUUUUGUGAAAUUGUUCAUAUGAUUGUUGAACAAGAGACCCUGCUUUUCAUUGUAAAAAACUUGGAUGCCUGGUACCUGGAACAUUAUCGAGCUUAUGACUUGGUCACGUCUACUACUAGAGUGCUAAAGCUUGUUGGCCUGCAUGAACUGACAGAUCACUACCCUCUAAAUUACUACAUGGUUGGUGGACGGCGCCUCAUCUCACUGAAGAGAUACAUCCAUGCAUAA
ensembl:lncRNA